AUGCACACUUCUCUAGAUGGUAGAAUUGUCUUAGUUAAGCAGGUUCUUUCAGCCAUGGUGGUCUAUCAUAUGCUCGUCCUAGAGCUGCCGAUGUGGCUAAGGGAACAAAUUGACAAGUUGCACCGAGGAUUUCUGUGGGAAGGGAAGGAGCUUGCAAAUGGUGGGAAGUGUCUGGUAAGCUGGAAUGUGGUAUGCCGGCCAACAUGUUUCGGAGGACUAGGAAUCUUGAAUCUUGCAGCACAGAGUACAGCGCUGAAACUACAAUGGAUGUGGAUGCAAUGGACUGACCCAGACAAGGCAUGGACUGAUUUACCGUUGCGCUCAUAUCUGAAAGUGUUGAACCUCUUUGCGGCAUCAGCCAGAUUCCACCUUGGCAAUGGACAUCGAAUCAGGUUCUGGCUAGACCUAUGGAUGGAUGGACUGGCUCACUGUCACCGGUUCCCAACACUCUUUUCCUUCUAUACGAGGAAGAAGCUCUUGGUACCACAUGCUAUGGAGGAAAGCCGAUGGACAAGACACCUGAAGACAACCAUCUCACCACAUGCUAUCCGCGAAUUCACAAGAUUAUGGGCGAUGAUGCAAGUAGUUACUCUAGGUGAUCAACCGGACACAGUUUCUUGGAAGUGGACUUCCAAUGGUCAAUUCUCCACCGCGUCUGCAUACACCAUUCAAUUUGAAGGCUCUCGGUGA
rnacentral:rRNA from 1 species